AUUGCCUCAGUACGGCGAGUGAAGCGGCAAAAGCUCAAAUUUGAAAUCCUUCGGGAGUUGUAAUUUGUAGGUUGGGAGACCCCGCGGCUAGUGGCACCAAGUCCCUUGGAACAGGGCGCCUUAGAGGGUGAGAGCCCCGUAGGUACCACAACACCGUCUUGUGUCUCCUCUCCAAAGAGUCGAGUUGUUUGGGAAUGCAGCUCAAAGUGGGUGGUAAAUUCCAUCUAAAGCUAAAUACCGGCGAGAGACCGAUAGCGAACAAGUACAGUGAUGGAAAGAUGAAAAGCACUUUGAAAAGAGAGUGAAACAGUACGUGAAAUUGUUGAAAGGGAAGGGCUUGCAAGCAGACACGGCCUUCGUGCCGGGCCAGCAUCGGUUGCUAGGGGUGGAUAAGGAACAAGGAAUGUAGCUCCUCGGAGUAUUAUAGCCUUGCGCGAUACACCCACUGGCGACCGAGGCCUGCGGUAUUCUUUACCUAGGAUGCUGGCGUAAUGGUUGCAAGCCGCCCGUCUU
rnacentral:rRNA from 1 species